AAUCAGAUUGCAAUCUUUAAACCAUUUUUUCAACAGUAUCAUCACCUCUUACUAGAAAACUUUUUGCUUUAUAUGUUUGCCUUCAAUUAGGUCAGAAGCAUGAAGCGUGCUAGAGACAUAAGAGAUCAGUUGGAGGGGCUAUUGGAAAGGGUUGAGAUUGAAGUGACAUCCAAUGUCAAUGAUUUGGAAACUAUAAAGAAGGCUAUAACAUCAGGCUUUUUCCCCCACUCUGCAAGGUUGCAAAAGAAUGGAUCAUAUCGAACUGUCAAACAUCCGCAGACUGUUCAUAUUCACCCGAGUUCAGGUUUAGCUCAGGUAGCUGCUCAAUGAUUUUGAUAUUCACAAUUGGACGUUUUCUCUAAAUGAAGCUUUGAGGAUUAUAUAUUUGACCCAUGUGCCAGUACAAUAUUUUGGCAUGAUUUAAAAUUUCUGCAACUCUUUGUUGAUCAUAUUCAUCAUGUCUCUUGAGUUAUGAACAUUAGGUAUAUCUGUAAUCUUUUGGAAUGGAAAUUUUAAUUUUCUAAACUAUUUUUCAUACUAUUAAGGUAUCAAACUCAUAAUUGAAUAAAAUUGAUUCCAUCCUGUCAUUAAACUGUUUCUAUGCUACACCUUAUUCUGAUCAUUUCAAGUUGGCGUCUGAUAGCUGUAGGUGUUCCUGUCUGUACCUUUGUCUCCAUCAAUUUUCUUUCCAUGUUUGUCAACACAAUUACACUAGCAAGCUAGGGAUUAUUAUCACUACUAAUUGUAUUGCUUUGGCCACAACUUGAAGAAAGAAUUUUAAAAUAAUAUAGGCUAGGGGUCAGGUAGUUUUGGUGUCAAUUGAUAUCAAACGUUCCUUUAAGCAUGUAUUUGGAGCCUUGUGGACGAUUGUAGUCAUUUGUACUGGGAUAAUAGCAAGAUGUUUCUCCCACUUUUUCAAACUUGAUGUCCUUAUUCCUCUUUGUUUUAUUCUCUUGUGGAAGUUUAAAGCAUUUGACAUCUUAUCAAACUGCGUGAAAAUGUGAGAAAACGUUGAGAUGCAAGAUAUUUGAUCUGAUAAAUGUCAAAAACACCUAUGAUGACAUUUUGACAAAAAACAAAAUGUCAAAAACACCUAGGGAUCCCAAGUAUCUCUUUAAAGGAAAGACCACAACAAAAUUAGUCUCCUUGCCAACUCUCAACUAGUUGGAAGUACUUACUAUUCAGAUGAGGUCUUUUCUUAUCUUCAUCCUAAUUGUAUAACACACCCUGAGGCCUUUGCCAGUUCCUAAUGGGUUGGAGAAAACAGAAAAUUUCAUACUUACCUAACUAUCGGUGUAUAUUGAAAUAGUUUUAGUUCUUCUUAAUGUGUACAUGACUUUAAUGUCUUCCCCUUAUCUAUGACUAUGAAAGCGCAAAGCAGGUACAACAGUUGAAAUGGGGAGGGCUUAUAUUAGUAUAAAUAAAUAGGAUACAUUACUUGAUUUAGAAUUGGGGAAAAACUUAGAGUCAAGUGUAAAAUGAUGAAAGUGUUGGAAGGAUGUGAAAUCAAAUGUUCCAAAAUGUUUUUUCCAUAAUCAAAUCAAAUCAAACUCUAUUCUGUCCCCAAGUAUCUAAUGUUUUCUGAUUCUACCAUGUUUAUCCAUGAAAUAGGCUAAUGUAUAGCGCUUAGGUUUUAAAAGAAUGGUAAAUACUGUACCCAAGUUAUAAGCAUUAGCACUCUUAAUAGUUUCAAACAUUAUGGAUAGACGAAUCUGACAAUAUGAUUAGAAACAAAAGAUUGCAAGUUGGAAGUAGGAAUAAAAAGUUACUGCUCUCAACAAAACAGGAUCAUGAGCCUUUGGUGUUCAAGGAUAAAAAGGUGCAUAUAGCAAUAUACUAUUUUUUAUGAGGCCUGUUUCAGUAACAAAUUCUCUCUCACAUGAUAAGAAUUUGGUUUGUUGUACUAUAUAGUUCAUCCUCAUCACAGAAAGAGCGGCAUUUAACAUGUGACAUCCAGGUGCAGGGUCAUCAAAAUAGAAUUUUUGGUAAUUAUAACAUUGAUUUUAUUGAGUUAUUUUACUUGUAUAGGACGGACAAAUGGCUAAUUUACCGAGACUGGGGCCUAGAAAUCAAAGAAAGGUUUCUGGCAAUCUUAUUAGCAUGGAGCAACAAGAGCUAAUUUGCAUAGAUAAACAAGAGUAGUGAAAAUAUUUACCAGAAGAAACCUACUUGAAAUGAGUUCAUAUACUCUGAUUUACAUCUUUGAGAAUCUAAAUGGAAAUCCAUAGGGAGCUUGAAGUGGAAGUCAAUCAUAGGCAUGCUUUAUUAGCGAAAUCAGGAUGUUAAAACUCCAGUAAGAGCUUCAACACCUCCUAGUAUUUUGUAUGUGAUCUCAUAUCUCGAGUUGAGGCAAAUGUGAGGACAUGGCAGUUAAAAAUCAUGAGUUGGAAAAUAAUUUUUUCUUUGAUUUUUUAGGUGCUUCCAAGAUGGGUUGUGUACCAUGAACUGGUGUUGACAACCAAAGAGUACAUGCGGCAGGUAAGAGAUCUUGAUUUGAUUUUGAUUUGAGUUUGCCUUUUCUUGCCAGUGAAUAUGCUGUGCUAUUUUAUCUUUUGAUGUCUUGCAUUAUAUAGCUUAAAAUUUCUUGCAUUAUGGAGCUUUAACUCAUAUGCUGCAGGCAACCGAACUAAAACCAGAAUGGCUGGUAGAAAUAGCUCCUCACUAUUACCAGUUGAAGGAUGUUGAAGACCGUAAGCCUCUUCCUCCCUUCCUCUCUCUCUCUCUCUCUCUCUCUCUCUCUGAGUGUGUGACCGUGGAAGCAUUUGCCAUCCAGUCUUGUUUUUGUGUUUGAUUGGGUGUGUUAUGAGUACCUUUCUAUCUGUAACAACAUAAGAGAUAAUUGUGUGGGCUAUACCAUAAUGUCUUUUCUGCUAUAUAUUGUUCUCUGAUUCUGUGUAAUCUGAUGAAUGCUACGAGUCCAUAAGUGGUUGUGCUGCCAAAAUAUCACUUAGUUUUCAAACUGCUCUAGUUCUAUAUGGAUUUUGCCCCCAUUGUUGAGAUCAUGUAGUUUAGGCUGAUGAUUGAUUGCCAAUAUUUGAACCCUUCUCCAAACACUUCAAAACAAAACAGAAUAUCAGUGUCUUAUAUGCAUGAUAAUGCUAGUGGUGACUGUUUUUUAGAAAGAAAUGUAUGACCUUUACCUGGUAGCUGGUGAAGCUCAUCUCAUUUGCAAUGAUGAACCUAAGCAGUCGCCUCAUAUGUGCAUUGGACAGAAACUAGUUUCUUUUUACAACAAUCAUUAAAGGAUGAACUUGCAAGGAGUACUUACAAAAAAAUAAAUAAAUAACUUGCAAGAAGUGUGUGACCAUACAUGAAGAUUGCUGCAUCUAUUUCGUUAUAUGUGCUGAUUGCUCGUCAAGGUUACAGAUUAGGCCAAAUACUAGUAUUUUGGGUAGAUUACAAGCUGAAAGCUUCAUAAGAUCAACUUUUUUUGCCCUGUCAAUGUGCUUUGAACUUUGCAUGGUAACUUCUUAAGCCAUCUCUCUCACAAUAGUGUGCGAUGAUUAAUUCUGAUAACUUGCCAUCGCAGCUACAUCAAAGAAAAUGCCUCGUGGGGAAGGCCGCACAUCGUAGGAUUCGUAUUCUUUAUUUAUACUGACAUGACUUCUGCGUUGA
rnacentral:lncRNA from 1 species